rnacentral:rRNA from 1 species
AGGCCUAACACAUGCAAGUCGAGCGGUAGCACAGAGAGCUUGCUCUCGGGUGACGAGCGGCGGACGGGUGAGUAAUGUCUGGGAAACUGCCUGAUGGAGGGGGAUAACUACUGGAAACGGUAGCUAAUACCGCAUAACGUCGCAAGACCAAAGUGGGGGACCUUCGGGCCUCAUGCCAUCAGAUGUGCCCAGAUGGGAUUAGCUAGUAGGUGGGGUAACGGCUCACCUAGGCGACGAUCCCUAGCUGGUCUGAGAGGAUGACCAGCCACACUGGAACUGAGACACGGUCCAGACUCCUACGGGAGGCAGCAGUGGGGAAUAUUGCACAAUGGGCGCAAGCCUGAUGCAGCCAUGCCGCGUGUGUGAAGAAGGCCUUCGGGUUGUAAAGCACUUUCAGCGGGGAGGAAGGCGUUAAGGUUAAUAACCUUGGCGAUUGACGUUACCCGCAGAAGAAGCACCGGCUAACUCCGUGCCAGCAGCCGCGGUAAUACGGAGGGUGCAAGCGUUAAUCGGAAUUACUGGGCGUAAAGCGCACGCAGGCGGUCUGUCAAGUCGGAUGUGAAAUCCCCGGGCUCAACCUGGGAACUGCAUUCGAAACUGGCAGGCUAGAGUCUUGUAGAGGGGGGUAGAAUUCCAGGUGUAGCGGUGAAAUGCGUAGAGAUCUGGAGGAAUACCGGUGGCGAAGGCGGCCCCCUGGACAAAGACUGACGCUCAGGUGCGAAAGCGUGGGGAGCAAACAGGAUUAGAUACCCUGGUAGUCCACGCCGUAAACGAUGUCGAUUUGGAGGUUGUGCCCUUGAGGCGUGGCUUCCGGAGCUAACGCGUUAAAUCGACCGCCUGGGGAGUACGGCCGCAAGGUUAAAACUCAAAUGAAUUGACGGGGGCCCGCACAAGCGGUGGAGCAUGUGGUUUAAUUCGAUGCAACGCGAAGAACCUUACCUGGUCUUGACAUCCACAGAACUUUCCAGAGAUGGAUUGGUGCCUUCGGGAACUGUGAGACAGGUGCUGCAUGGCUGUCGUCAGCUCGUGUUGUGAAAUGUUGGGUUAAGUCCCGCAACGAGCGCAACCCUUAUCCUUUGUUGCCAGCGGUUCGGCCGGGAACUCAAAGGAGACUGCCAGUGAUAAACUGGAGGAAGGUGGGGAUGACGUCAAGUCAUCAUGGCCCUUACGACCAGGGUUACACACGUGCUACAAUGGCAUAUACAAAGAGAAGCGACCUCGCGAGAGCAAGCGGACCUCAUAAAGUAUGUCGUAGUCCGGAUUGGAGUCUGCAACUCGACUCCAUGAAGUCGGAAUCGCUAGUAAUCGUAGAUCAGAAUGCUACGGUGAAUACGUUCCCGGGCCUUGUACACACCGCCCGUCACACCAUGGGAGUGGGUUGCAAAAGAAGUAGGUAGCUUAACCUUCGGGAGGGCGCUUACCACUUUGUGAUUCAUGACUGGGGUGAAGUCG